AGAGUGAUGGCUCAGUGGUAGAGCACAUGCUUAGCAUGCCUGAGGUCCUGGGUUCAAUCUCCAGUACCUCCA
rnacentral:tRNA from 1 species